GCCGGGGUGGCCGAGCGGCCCAAGGCGCGGGACUUGAGAUCCCGUCCCCGUUCAGGGGGCGUGGGUUCAAAUCCCACCCCCGGCGCCA
rnacentral:tRNA from 2 species